CCAGACCUACGGGGGGCAGCAGUAGGGAAUUUUCGUCAAUGGGCGCAAGCCUGAACGAGCGAUGCCGCGUGAACGAGGAAGGUCUUCGGAUCGUAAAGUUCUGUUGAAGGGGAAAAAGAGCGGAGAGAGGAAAUGAACUCCGAUUGAUAUUACCCUUCGAGGAAGUCACGGCUAACUACGUGCCAGCAGCCGCGGUAAUACGCAGGUGGCGAGCGGUAUCCGGAAUGAUUGGGCGUAAAGGGUGCGUAGGCGGCCUGCUAAGUCUGGAGUGAAAGGUACCGGCUCAACCG
rnacentral:rRNA from 1 species